rnacentral:misc_RNA from 1 species
AAGUCGUAACAAGGUUUCCGUAGGUGAACCUGCGGAAGGAUCAUUAACGAGUUUCUUUUGAAGUGGUCUUGAUGCUGGCUCUCGUUUCCUUCACCGGAGAUGGGAGCAUUGUGCUCGGACUGCGCUCAAAUCCACUCAAACCACUGUGCACUUCUCGAGACCUGCCGUCCUCCGUUGUGGGAGCAGCCCGCCUUUGUCGCACCUUUCUUGUAUACUCGAAAGCGAGCGCUUGGGUGGGCCGGGACGGUGUGGCCUCUUGACCCAUACUCAAAAACCCUUGAUCAAAGUCUGUAGAACGUAUCAUUUUAUGAAUUUAAAUACAACUUUCAACAACGGAUCUCUUGGCUCUC